CCGUUUAGGUCCUCCCACCACUCGCCUCCAGAUCGAGUCAGCCCGAGCGUGUCGCCUCCACCUCGCCUCUCCUCGCUCAACCCCGAUGGCCGCCGCUGGCUCUCGCCUCCCCGAGCAGCGCCUCUCUCCCUGGCCCGCGCUCGAGCGCCUCUCUCCUCACAGGCCGCGCGCCACUGCGUCCGCCCCGUCUUGCUUCCUCUCGUCGUCACGAACGCCGCCGCUGCCCUCUCGAGCUCGUCACCGUCGCGCCCGGCGCCGCUGGCCCUCGCCGUUUCGUGCUGCUCCUCUCCGCCGCGCCGUCCGACGCUGCUGGUCUGCCACGACCUCCCCAAGCUCGUCUGUGACUUCCUGCCGUCGCCAAGGACGUCAUCAGUCUGCCCCGCGCACGCCACCUGCCCCUGCUCCUCAAUAAGCAACAGCGAAUGCUGCUUCUUUUCCUAGCAGCAACACCUCCUCGUUUUGGAAUCUGUGACCGUAUGCUGCUUAUUUUCCUAUGCACGGUAGCUACACUCGUUGCAUGAUUCAUAGCAAGAUACCUAUCUAAUCCUGUUUGGAUCCAUUUACCUGGCUGCCUGCUUCGUGUGUUGCUGGUGCAGUUUUUGGUGUUGUCUCUGUUUGAUGCGUGAAUUCCCCAACCGGCACUUGGAGUUAAAUCCGAAGACUAGUUGUGCUGAUCCACGUUCGCCACCGACACCGAAGUUGGAACCGGAACCCAAGACCUUGGUCAUGGAACCUCAAGGCCUCCUUCCCGGAUACGAAGGCGAAGACCCCGGCUUCAUCUUCUUCCUCUCCGAACCGAAUCUGGCGACCAUCUUUGUCUCCAUUUGCUUCUUCCCGGAUAGGAUCGCGAAGUGGUGUUGUGAGAUACAACAAGUUCUCCGGAUGUUCUUCGACAACCUGUAACAGGCAAGCAUUUUCCGGGGGAGACUUGUAUAGGAUCUAUCUAUUAGGUAUGAAGUCAUGUUCGAUGAAGGCAACGUUAGCAAGGUUACCCUUCCGGCUUGGCCUGGGCAGGGUUAUGGACGCCACUGGUUAUCUUCAGGACUCUUAGUCCAAUUUGUAUCUUGUCCAUACUCGGACAUCUUUGAUCUUUUGUAUGAUUUGGAUCUUUGUAUUGUAUAUUUGUAUCUUGAUUCGUUGGAGUCGUUGUUGUAAUAUAUCUUUCUUGUGGGCUCUAUUGUGAUCCUGUUGUAAUGUUACCACUCGUGUUAAUUCCUCUGGCAUCA